ensembl:lncRNA
CACACUAGCAGAACGUGAGCCCCCAAAGUUAAACUAAAAAGAAAAGGAAAAAACCAAACCACGCACAGCACACUGUGGAAAGAAUUUAUUGGCUUGCCUCGCACACGAAAAAAUCUCAACAGUGCAUUUAACUACAAAUCCAAUCUUCUCAAUCACGGAGUUGCAAACAAAGUUUAAACAGAAACUUUUAAUCGCUUUAGGUUUACAUUUUAGAAACUCUUACAUUUACCGAGAGAACAUAUGAAACCCAGAUGUGGAAGGCUGCGGGACGAACUCGGGGACGAGCGGGUCCGCGGCCGCCCCGCCCGCCCGCAGGGAGCCGGCGCCCAGGACGCGGCAGGACGGACACGGCCGCGCCCCGUGGGGAGGCGCCGCGACGCUCGGGGCACCGGUGUCGCCGCCGCGCACGGCCACUCGUGCAGGAGCGACAGCGCCGCCGAGGGCGCAGCGCCCGUCCCGACCCGGGAAACGGCCCCGGCCCCCUCGGCCCGCGAUCCCUUCCUCGCCCCGGGAGAGCGCGAACUCAGGUCCCGCGGCGGCCGGCCGGGCCCCGCCGUGUCCCCGCGGCCCGGGACACAAAGGGGACUCGCAGCCACGGUCGCGCGGGCGCUGAGCAUCACCAGCACUAGCAAGGCAGUAGCUUGCGCAGUUAUCUCCACAGCGGGCAGUGUCACAACCCGACCAACAGCACAAACUACUACCUCAGCCAGGGCCAUGGUGUCGGGCGGCCGCGCCGCGCUGCUCCGUCCUCCUGCUCCGCCGCCGCCUCCUCCCCGCCGCCCGCCCGCCGGCUCGGGACCCGGGCGCGCCCCACGCCGGCCCGACGCUCUGGAAGGGGAGGCGGGCGGGGCUCGCCGCGGCCAGCCGCCCUCCAUCCCGCCCCGGGGCCCUCCGGGCAGGAGACGGGCGGCGAGAGCGCGCGGACGCCGCGGGAGGCACAAAGCGCCCCGCCCGCCGCCGCCGCCGCUUCGGGCCGGCCCGCCGCCUCCCGCCACGUCCCGGCUGCGCCGCCCGCCCCCUCCCGCCCGUCUGCGCGCUGGGGGCCGGGCCUCCGCCCCGCGCCCGCCGGCCCUCCGCGCGCGAACGCCCGCCCGGGGCGCUGCCCCAGAGGCGUCCGCCGGACAGCGCGGAAGUCCCGGGCCCCGCGGCCGCCGCAGCCUGCGGGGCAGCGGCGGCCACCUCUGCAGGAGGCGGGCCUCAAACAAAGCAAGCCCCGGAGCCGGUCCGCGCGGCGGCGCGGCGGGGACACACGGCCCGGCCCGCGCGCCCGGCCGCUGUGCGUGAGGACGAACCAUAGAGAUCCCUUAAGGCGGCGCGCGGCCCACCACGUGACCGCCGCCGGCCGCCCCCCCGCGCCGCCAUCUUACAGCCGGGAGCGCCGCGGCGGCCCCUUCCCCGCCUCGGAAGCUUCGACUGGCACGAGAACUCAGCCCCGAGAGGGGGUACCCCGGUUCCACGUCACCAAAGCGCUCGAGCUGCGGGCCGUGCCCCCCGCCCCGCUUCACCGGGCACUGUGGAAGCCCUCACUUUCCCGGUCUCUGCCCGCAAAAAAGAUGGCGGUACUCACCGCCGUCGAAGGGGACACGUUGUGCCCGGCCAGGGCAUUCUUAUUAGUCAUCACGCUCCUGAAAAUCCAGACUGCACAUAACAAAAGUAAGGAAUGGAGGAAUUGAAGAGUGUUCGGACUUGGGACUGACCUUGUGCCGGGACUUUGAUCGUUGCUUAGAGGACAGAGGACUAAGGUUCAGACUCCAAAACCUGGCAACGACGCAGAAAGGACAUCCAUGUAUAAUUCCUUUUCGGAAAAGUAAGAUUUUUCUCGUUUUUAAACCAGCACAAUAGAAUUUUGGAUAACAGAUUCGCUCAGCCAAGAGUCUCACUGCAAAUUAAAGAUUAGGUUCCUUUCUAAUAUUCUAUUAAUAUCUAAUAUCUAAUAUCUAAAGAAUAGAUUCCUUUCUAUUUUAUAUGAUAUUGUUGAUGGGACACUAAUUGAAGAACAAGUUUUCAAAUUAAAAAGCAUCCUGCCUGACAUGUUUCAAAAUAAAUAACAUUUGUAUGUAAUUUGCAAAUUCAGAAAAUAAAAUACACUCCGAUGUGUGCUCUGACUGACA